rnacentral:tRNA from 1 species
GGGCCGCUAGCUCAACCUGGUAGAGCAGCAGAUUCUUAACCUGAAGGCUCUGGGUUCAAAUCCCAGGCGGCUCACCC